AAUACGUGUCUUUGGUCCAGAGGGUCCUGAUGGCAAAGAACCGAGCAAAUUAGUGGUGCGAGGAUACAAGUGAGUUGGCUUCCAUUCGGACGUCUACGAUGAGACGAUGGACAGGGUGAAAGGCCUCGGCGUUGAUACCGAGUGCACUGGUGGUGGCAGAAUACAGCACGACCCCAGUGCCAACGUCAUCAAAGCGUACAGCUACUCACAGGGGUUUGGGAAGGCAGACCACAGCAAGAAUGUAGAAAUUCUGAAGACUGCAUAUCCUGUUUACAACAUUACUUGGAGUGAUGAAGGAUACUGAUCUGCUCAGGUUGUAAUAUUUGACAUUGCAGCUUUUGAAAAUGGAGCAGGAUGUUGUGCCCUCUUUCCUA